AUUGAACGCUGGCGGAAUGCUUUACACAUGCAAGUCGAACGGCAGCACGGACGUCGGUCUGGUGGCGAGUGGCGAACGGGUGAGCAAUGUAUCGGAACGUGCCCAGUCGUGGGGGAUAACGGAGUGAAAAGUACGCUAAUACCGCAUACGAUCUAUGGAUGAAAGCGGGGGAUAGGAAGACCUGGCGCGAUUGGAGCGGCCGAUGUCAGAUUAGGUAGUUGGGGGGGUCAAGGCUCACCAAGCUAACGAGCUGUAGCUGGGCUGAGAGGACGACCGGCCACACGGGAACGGAGCCACGGUCCAAACUCCGACGGGAGUCGGCAAUGGGGAAUUUUGGACAAUGGACGCAAGUGUGAUCCAGCCAUUCCGCGUGCAGGAUGAAGGCCCUCGGGUUGGAAACUGCUUUUGUACGGAACGAAAAGGUUUCUCAUAAUACGGGGGAGUGAUGACGGUACCGGAAGAAUAAGCACCGGCUAACUAUGUGCCAGCCGCCGCCGUAA
rnacentral:rRNA from 1 species